UUGAACGCUGGCGGCAUGCCUUACACAUGCAAGUCGAACGGCAGCGGGGACUUCGGUCCGCCGGCGAGUGGCGAACGGGUGAGUAAAGCAUCGGAACGUGCCCUGAAGUGGGGGAUAACGUAGCGAAAGUUACGCUAAUACCGCAUAUUCUGUGAGCAGGAAAGCAGGGGAUCUUCGGACCUUGUGCUUUAGGAGCGGCCGAUGUCGGAUUAGCUAGUUGGUGAGGUAAAGGCUCACCAAGGCGACGAUCCGUAGCGGGUCUGAGAGGAUGAUCCGCCACACUGGGACUGAGACACGGCCCAGACUCCUACGGGAGGCAGCAGUGGGGAAUUUUGGACAAUGGGCGCAAGCCUGAUCCAGCCAUGCCGCGUGAGUGAAGAAGGCCUUCGGGUUGUAAAGCUCUUUCGGCGGGGAAGAAAUGGCGCUUUCUAAUACAGAGCGUUGAUGACGGUACCCGCAUAAGAAGCACCGGCUAACUACGU
rnacentral:rRNA from 1 species